AUUUAUAUAGUUUAAUAAAACAUUACAUUUUCAUUGUAAAAAUAAAAAUAUUUUUUUUAUAAAUU
rnacentral:tRNA from 1 species